UUUUUGUUCUCGUAUUGGCAUCCUUGGUGAUAUUUAGCGCCCUCUGAUUAUUUUGCGCAUUUGAUGGUGCUACAUAGCCUUCCCGGUUUGGUGCCUUCUUUUGAUAAUUACUUAUCCUUUCUACCAUUUAUUCUAUGUGCCUGGUAUUUCAUUCCUAGUGUUUCAUAUGGUGCUUUAGCAAACAAAGUACUUGUGUACCAAUAGUCUUGUGCGAAUAGCUGGUUAUCUUUAAAAAGAGUUCAUUUUUUAACAAACCAUUUUGUUGAUUUUACAAGACUAUGAAUGAAUCUCCCCUUCAGGACCUUGCAGAUGUGAGGUUAAAGUAAUCAGAAUUUUUCUGGUUGGCAGUUUAACAAAUUUAAGUGACAUUUGAAAUCCAGAUAAAGUUGAGAAUAGCUUUGAACCUAUAUAGCGAGUUUAAGUGGCAAUAAGUUUGAAUGGAAAGUUCAUUUAAGAGCUUAGAUUGAAUUCCAGGUAUCUGAAGUUUUUAUAAUUUUAGUUUGAAAAGCUCUUCCCAUUUAUGGUGCUUGUUACAGGCAGUGUAUGUAUACACUAUCUUUAAAUAGUUAUAAUCAGCAGCUUGAAACAUUUGUGGUAAUGGAUUGUCUGGCAUGUGAAUUUAGUGUUGAUUCCAAAUAUUUGGUAGACAUUUCAUAGUGCAGCAAAUAUUAACACAGAUUGGACAUUUCUAAAGUUUUUUAUUUUCUUAGACUAGUAGAAAAUUGUAGUGUUUGGUCUCAUUUGAUAUUGUCCAGCAUUAGACAAUAUUGUUAGCAAGUAUGAAAGUUGUAUAGUUUCCUGUAGUUUUAAUACAUAAUCAAUGUGAUUACUAUAAUGGGCUAAGGUGUGACAUUUAGUAAGGCACAUUAAACUAAAUUUAGUUUUUUUUCAAUCUUGCCAUUGACUUAAAUUUUUACAUAAGCUAUGCAACAUCAUUGAUAAGUGAAAGUUUAGCCCAUACAUUUGUUUUAGAAGUGAAAUUUGGUAGUUAUAUUAUAAUUUAUUUUAAAUUUUAUCAGGUUAAUUCAGUUUGGAAUGCAAAGUUUUAAAAAGUGGUCAAAAUGAUUUCAGUUUUGUAUGCUUAAGAUGCUCAUGUGUAAGUUUAUAAUAGCUUUAUGAAGUUUAAGUUCUCAUAAACUACAUUAGCUUUAUGAAAACUUGUAACUCUUAUACAUGCAGGUUUAAAUUAAUGCAUUAUAUCAGUUUUCUUUAGAUGUCAUUGUUAGGAAGACUGCAUUAGUAAUAAAUUUCAAGCAAGUUGAAUUAUAGCUACUUUCAGGAUAAAGUACAUAAAGUUUCAUUAAAUGAUUUAUUAAAUAGUGUACAAUAUAACUAAGACAAUUUUAUGUUUCAGGUUGAGACUUCAAAGGCCAAGAUAAUGUCCAGAGUACCAAAGACAUCAUCCACCUGUAAAAGAAAAAGAGUUGUGGGAAGCUGCUCCUCCUAGAUGCAAUCCACUGAAGACUCCAAAAGGACAGGGAAAACUCCAGAGUAACAAGAACAUCCACCUGUAAAAGAAAAAUAAAGUAUAUCAAACAGGGACACUCAUUUUAUUAACACUAACACCUAUCUAUAAGCACCAAAACCCCUAAGUCCCAAUCUUUUAAGAUUGGCUCAGCAAGGCCUACCCCUUACUUGCAUUUUGAGGCAGGACUUGUUGGCUGAAAGAGUGCAAAACAUCUUUUGGUUUAGUGCCCUCAACAUGAUGUACAUAGGCUUCUUGUGAAGCCUAUGUACAUCAUGUUCCAGGCACUAAACCUCUGGAUGUAUCCACUCUUUCAGUGAACAAGCCCUGUAGUUAUUAACAAUGUUUGCACAUUGUUAAGGGUCCCUACACCUAUGCAAUUCUAGUCCAUCUAUUGGAUGGGUAGUAGAGCAGGGCUCUGAAAAAGCCAAGCCAGGGAAAUCUGCAGGACUGCCUGGUCCCCUUCUAUGAAAUGGGGUAGGAUCAGUACAAACUGCAUCAAUCCCUGCAGGUGGUAACAGUAGGACUUUGGUACACAUCUAUAAAUGGACUAGAU